ACUGCUAAUUUCAUUACAGUCGUGCUACUUUGUCGUUAGUGUUACCUAAUCACUAAAAAAAUGCUUGCCUCUACAUCUAGAAUUGUUUCAAGAAUGCAAGCCAUUCAGUCUGUGAGAAACAUGUCUGUUGUUUCCGGUCCACCUAGAGUGAAAAUUUCAGGCACUGAACAGAUUGUACAUGGUAUGCUUUUAACUGCCGGAAUUUUAGCUGUGCCUUUGUGGGUUUUAGCAAAUAUCAAACACUACAGAGGAAAUGCAGCUGAAUAAUAAUAAUUAUUAUUAAUAGUUGGAAUAGACAUUUUUAUGUAUUUAGUUUAAGAAUAAAUUUUGUUCCAUUGU